UCUGCCCUCCCACCCCCAUGACUGUAUGCCUUUAUCCUGUCUUGAUUAAUACCUGAGCAGGUAAGAAAUGGCUCUAAUGAACAGUUAACUAUUUAACUGUAUAAAAUGGUGUAAACAGAAGGUGUAGAUUAAGAAAUGCAGGCAGAUGCAUACAAGUGGCUAAGGCUGAAUGUGCAUCCUCAACUUGGAUUCUUCUUGGAUUUAUUUAGUACUUACCCAUGCAAUCGUAGCCUUCCAAACACAUGUUGCUGUACAUAUAACACACAAAAGGAUGGUGAAAUGAAGUUUUGCUAGCAAUAUCUAUUUAGGGUCUUAGGGGAAAUGUGGGGUAUUUGGCCUAAAAUUCCACUCUGGCAGCUUUUUGGAGUGUUAUAUGCUUGGUUUUUGCUUUGUUCCUUUUGCACUGUGGGCUUCAAGACUCCUACCAAUUAAUUCUGGAAAAAGGCUUAAUGUAGGCUACUCCUCAAGAAGGGGUCUAUUUUAACAUUCAGUAAACAGAUAAUCCAUUAGGACAACAAUGUACAUUGUGGCAAGUGCUAUCCUAGGAUUUUUUUUGUCAGCGCUUAUUUAUAGUCUUUUGAUUUCGCUUCCCUCCUGCGGUGCGGUUUCAAUCAUUCUCCCUCCAAUCUUUGUUCCCGUAUUCAUUGCAAGCUGAAAACAAAGUAAGAAAGAAGCUCAUACGUAGCGUUCUAUUCUUGGCCAGUUCUUCCUCUAUAGCAAGAAGGCGGUUGUAUUUGGUCACCCUUUCUCCGCGGGAAAGACCUCCCAGCUUGACAAACCUGGCACCCAGUCCAACAGCCUUGAAACGAGAAAGAACAGGCUUUCUCCUAAAAAAUAAUUCAUGUUAAAAGCAGUGUUUUGGCAAUUCUGCAACUGAAUAGCUUUCAGUACUUACCAGAUCCACAAGGCUAUCAUCAGAAGAUUCUCCAUCUGGACUUCCUAAUAUGGGAUCUACUAAGGCAAUAAUGGAAGGAAAUUUAUUAACCAGUUCCACGUACGUGUCGACCAUUUCAUCAGGGCUUCUGAAUGUUCCAAUUGUGCCACUGCUGAUGGAGCACAAGAAGUUACGGAAAGAGUGUCAUCAUCAUCUUCUUCUUCCUCUUCAAUUUCUUUUUUUUCUUCUUCCUUUUUUGAAAAGUAUUCACUGAGAAAAGGAACAAAGAUUGGUGGCUCAAAACACUGUCAUGCAUGUCAAAGGAGGCACGCUAUAUUCGCUGAAGAACAUGCUGGAGAUGGAUUAAGAGCGUCUGUUUGAGAUUCUGCCCUGAUUGUGUGAAGCUGGACAAGUCAGUAAAUGCCUGUUUUUGACAGUUAUCUGCAACACUGAAUAAACAAAAAGAACCACAAGCAAGAGUUACAGUCCUCAGCACGUGAUUUUCAGGCUGCACUGGUUUCAAAGGAUCAAGAAUGAAAAGAGCCAAAGUUUAACAGCAGGUGUUUGAACUAUCACCCACAUCAGCAUAUUGGCUCAAAGAAAAGAAGUUCCUUCACCAACUCUUUGUGGAUACUGUACAACUGUGUUUUUUUUUUAAUGUCAC